rnacentral:rRNA from 1 species
GUAGGUGGCAAGCGUUGUCCGGAAUUAUUGGGCGUAAAGCGCGCGCAGGUGGUUCUUUAAGUCUGAUGUGAAAGCCCCCGGGCUCAACCCGGGAGGGUCAUUGGAAACUGGGGAACUUGAGUGCAGGAGAGGAAAGUGGAAUUCCACGUGUAGCGGUGAAAUGCGUAGAUAUGUGGAGGAACACCAGUGGCGAAGGCGACUUUCUGGCCUGUAACUGACACUGAGGCGCGAAAGCGUGGGGAGCAAACAGGAUUAGAUACCCUGGUAGUCCACGCCGUAAACGAUGAGUGCUAAGUGUUGGGGGGUUUCCGCCCCUCAGUGCUGCAGCUAACGCAUUAAGCACUCCGCCUGGGGAGUACGGUCGCAAAGACUG